rnacentral:lncRNA from 1 species
AUUUUGCAAUGCAUAAUCAGGACAGAAAUUAAGCUUAAAGCAUGCUCACUCAUGCUGAUCUAAGAAACCAAACAAACAAAGAAAAAUCAUACAGACUCUUAAAUCCUGGGAUCACCAGCACAACAACUCAACUUUCAGAAACUUAAAUCCUAGGACCACCAGCACAACAACUCAACUUUCAGAACAGUUUUAAAGUUUUAAGCUACAAAUACAAAUUUAAACAUCUGCUCAAUGCAAAUCAUCCGACUCUGCCGGAGUUGCACAAACUGAAAGCCUUCAAAGAAGCAAAACAAAGCUUCAA